GUAAUUAACCCCAACUUCAAACCAAAUCACACAGCUUCUCCGUGGUGGCGGCACUUUCUCACGAGCAGCCAAUCGCACUUCGGCCGGCGGCGACGGAAACCCUCAAUCUCCGGUACAUAUAUACCCGCUUUCUCGGAUGAUUCAAGUGACCAUAAAACCCCGAACCACACUCCCACUGCAAGACUCGAACCAAAAAUGCACUUUUCGUCGCCAUCCCCAACCGCGUCGUUCGCAAGCCUUGCAUUGGCAGCAUUGUUUGGCGCCUCAGUCACCGCAAUCUCCGCCUUCUACAUCCACAAGCGUACCGUCGAUCAAGUCCUGGACCGCCUCAUCAAUCUCCGCCAACGCUAUCUUCACUCCGCCGCCGCCUCCGCCUCCGCGGACGAUCAUUCCCUUCAUUCCCAUGACGACGGCGGUGGCGGAGGAUAUUUGGAGUCCAACGGAGAGAUUGAUAUUGAUUGGAGCAAGUUGAGGUACGGACAUGCUAAUGAGAACGUGCUGAGUGCUUACAGAGUUUCGUCUUCAUCGCCAAAUGUAGGUUUGCCGAACGAGUGGGUAGAUGCGGCGGGUGGAAAUAGAGCGCCUUCAGCAUCUUGCGAUGACUUAAAUUUGAUUUCUUCUGACUUACCUCCUAUUCAUACUGUUCCGAAGGAUGCACAGGAUCAGUCUGUUAACAAUCCAGGUUCUAAGUUCUGGGUAGGAUCUGGUGGUAGGCUAAUGACUCCUAGGUCCUCGGGUGGCUAUGCAUUUGAAAGUUCAGUAGAUUCUGAUGAAGAAGGACCAGAGCUUGCAACUCAGGAUGACAUCCUUUUCACCUAUAAGAAUAUCAACUUCUCAGCUGAAUAUACAAAUUUAAUUGAUAACAGUUCAAAUAUUCAAACUUCGUCAACUCCUUUGUUCAAAGUUGAUAACAGGAGCUCUAUCCUAGAUAAGGAAUGUAGAUCAAUUCCUAACGAUCUGAAAGAAAAUAUAGACCAAUAUGGUGAUGGAAAAGCAGAAACAGCCUCAAUGAACAUCUCAGGGAAUGAUCCCAUUUUUGUGAACAAUAGUUUUCAUCUGACGACUACAAUGAAUGAGUCAAUCUACAAGGAAGAGGAGGAAGUAUGGAAGAUGAUGAUCUGUGAAUGUUUGGCUUUGCGGGACAGAUAUCUUUACAGAGAAAAAGUUGCCCCAUGGAUGAAGUUGACUGUGGGUGAAUCUUGUUCAUCAAGGACAAAAAGUGAUCCACUUUGCUUUGUCCCUGUUGAAGCUACUUCUCACUAUUUUAGAAUGGAAGAUGGAGUUGUGCAUGUUUAUGCAAGUGAAAAUGACUCUACGGAUCUUUUCCCUGUUGCAAGUUCAACUGAAUUUUUCACGGAUAUGCAUUACCUCCUCAAAGUUAUGUCCAUAGGAAAUGCUCGCACUGCGUGCCAUCAUCGUUUACGAUUUCUUGAGGAGAGAUUCCGCCUCCAUUUGCUAGUAAAUGCAGACAAAGAGUUUCUAGCUCAGAAGAGUGCACCUCAUCGUGAUUUCUACAAUAUCAGAAAAGUUGAUACACAUGUGCAUCAUUCUGCUUGCAUGAACCAGAAGCAUCUUCUACGCUUCAUUAAGUCUAAAUUAAGAAAAGAACCGGAUGAGGUUGUGAUAUUUCGUGAUGGGAUAUACCUUACACUUAAGGAAGUCUUUGAGAGUCUACAACUAACUGGUUAUGAUCUUAAUGUUGAUCUUCUGGAUGUGCAUGCUGACAAAAGUACCUUUCAUCGAUUUGACAAAUUCAAUCUCAAGUAUAAUCCUUGUGGGCAGAGCAGACUCAGAGAGAUCUUUCUGAAGCAGGACAAUCUCAUCCAAGGUCGUUUCAUAGCAGAGGUGACAAAGGAGGUUUUAUUAGAUCUUGAAGCAAGCAAAUAUCAGAUGGCAGAGUACAGGGUGUCCAUAUAUGGAAGGAAACAAAGUGAAUGGGAUCAGUUGGCAAGUUGGUUUGUUAACAAUGCAUUAUAUAGCAAGAAUGCAGUUUGGUUAAUCCAGCUACCGAGGCUAUACAACGUGUACAAGGGCAUGGGUACUGUUACAUCCUUUCAGAACAUUCUAGACAAUAUGUUCAUUCCACUCUUUGAAGUCACAGUCAAUCCCAAUUCUCAUCCACACCUACAUUUGUUCUUGAUGCAGGUUGUGGGCUUUGACCUUGUAGAUGAUGAAAGUAAACCUGAAAGACGUCCAACUAAGCACAUGACAAAGCCUUCAGAAUGGACAAAUGAGUUUAAUCCUGCAUACUCGUACUAUGCUUAUUAUUGCUAUGCAAACUUGUACACUCUUAAUAAGCUUCGUGAAUCAAAAGGGAUGCCUACAAUUAGACUGAGGCCGCAUUGUGGAGAGGCAGGUGAUAUUGAUCAUUUGGCCGCUGCUUUUCUUCUGUGUCACAACAUAUCACAUGGGAUCAAUUUGCGGAAAUCUCCUGUUUUGCAGUAUUUGUAUUACCUUGCUCAGAGAUACGAUGAUUAACAACUUUGAGCUAUGUUCCGGCCUCAUUCCUUUUCAAUUGUUGGAUGUUAUUUGUUGAGGAAGAAGUCUCGGUGCGAAGGAGAUAAAACUGAAGAAGAGGAAGCAGAUCAGGUUGAAGAUAUCCAAAAAAGAAGGAAGAAUAUGAGGCUGAAUGAAAGAAGAUAAAGAUCACAGCAAAGCCUAAUAAUUAGGAGGAAAAUCAGGGGAAAAAUUCUCUCCUUAUCUAUUGUUCUUUUUGUAUUUUAAAUCUCCUAAAAUUUAGAUAGAAGAUAAAUAGAAUUGUUGUGUAUAAAGCAACCUUGUAACCGAGAAUAAGAGAGUAGUAGUUGGUAUUUUACAACCCUAUUACUUCGAGGGUAUUAAUUCCCAAAUUCUCUAAAUUCGUUCAUGGUAUCAGAGCCCGGUUUUUGAUAAUCUGCAUACUCUUUUUCACACCAAACUGCUUCAAGAUGGCUAGUUCUUCAUCAACUAGUGAAUCCUCAACUAUUUGCCCUACAACCUCUCGAUCUAUACUCCCAACUUCUGCCCCUAUUUCGUUAGUUCACCACACCCUUCAAAUCACUCAACAUAAACUCAAUGGGACCAAUUUUCGGGAAUGGUCCCAAUCGGCCAUCUUGGUUAUGAAAGGCAAAGGGAAAGUGGAAUACCUAACGGGGGGAGUUUCAAGGCCAGAUCUUGAAGCUGCCAAUUAUGACGCAUGGGAUGCUGAAACUCUAUAGUAAUGGCUUGGCUCAUCAAUUCCAUGGAGCCAAAGAUAGGGAGGACCUAUCUGUUCUAUAAAACAACAAAAGAAGUAUGGGAUGCUGUCCAAAGUCUUUACUCAGACAUGGAGAAUACAUCACAAUGUUUUGAAGUUCGAUCAACCCUAAGAAUCACUUGCCAAGGUAACCAUUCGGUGACUGAUUACUAUAAUAUAUUAUGUGAAUUAUGGUAGGAGAUGGAUUUGUUUUAUGAUAUUAGUUGGGAGUGUACAAAGGAUGGGGUGAAGUAUUCUAAAAUGAUAGAGAAAGAGAGGGUAUUUGACUUCCUACAUGGGCUGAAUUCUGACUUAGAUGAAGUAAGAGGAAGGCUAUUAGGAACCAAACCCUUUCCAUCUAUCAAGGAGGCUUUUGCUGAAGUUAGGAGAGAAGAAAGUCGCAAGAAGGUAAUGCUAAAUACAUCACCUGAAGUUAAUAAUUAGAAUGGAUCGACUCUUGCUGCUUCUAAACAAAGGGCAACACCAACUCAUGGAGACCCUCCAAAGGAUAAACAAUGGUGUGACUAUUGGUACAAACCCUACUGCACUAAAGAAACCUAUUGGAAAAUACAUGGGAAGCCAGCAAACUAGAAAGGGAGAAAUCAGAAGAAGCAACAAACAACCUAUGCAGUUGAUGCGAAAGAAGGUAAAGGUACUAAUUUUACCUUAACCCUAGAACAAUUGGAGGUUUUGCAACAGGUUUUGAACCAAACAAGGGUUACAAAACCAUCAGAUUCUGUAGAAGUACCCAAUCCAGCAGCUUCCCAUGUGAAACAAGGUGAUUUUCAUAAUUGCUACCUCUCUAAAUUGCUGAAUAUGAAUGAUUGGAUUGUGGAUACUUGGGCUUUCGACCAUAUGACCGGACCCUUACAUGGAAUGGCUGAUUACAAAUAGUGUGAGAAAAAUAUAAAGGUAACUAUGGUAGAUGGUACAAUAUCCUAUGCUGUAGGGGAAGACUCAGUAUAUUUAGAUGAUUUGUGGUUGAAAUCUAUCUUGUAUGUGCCUACAUUGAGAUGUAAUCUUUUGUCCAUCAGCAAAAUUGCAAAGUAAUUUCUCUCCAACUCAUUGUGUAUUUCAGGACUUAAUUUCGGGGAGGAUAAUUGGCAAUGCUGAGGAGAAAGAGGGCCUAUACUAUGUGAAAGGAACUGCUGGCGAUUCUAGAUUGGAUUGGCCAUGUCACCACUGAGCAACAAUUCCCUUUUCCUGGAUUAUCACCGCAACCCAU